UACGUAGGUGGCAAGCGUUGUCCGGAUUUACUGGGCGUAAAGAGCGCGCAGGCGGUCGUUUAAGUCGAAUGUGAAAGCCCCCGGCUCAACUGGGGAGGGUCAUUCGAUACUGAUCGACUUGAAGGCAGGAGAGGGAAGUGGAAUUCCGGGUGUAGUGGUGAAAUGCGUAGAUAUCGGGAGGAACACCAGUGGCGAAGGCGACUUCCUGGCCUGUUCUUGACGCUGAGGCGCGAAAGCGUGGGCAGCAAACAGG
rnacentral:rRNA from 1 species